rnacentral:rRNA from 1 species
CCUACGGGGGGCAGCAGUGGGGAAUAUUGGACAAUGGGGGGAACCCUGAUCCAGCCAUGCCGCGUGUGUGAAGAAGGCCCUCGGGUUGGAAAGCACUUUCAGUGAGGAAGAACGCCUGGUGGUUAAUACCCAUCAGGAAAGACAUCACUCACAGAAGAAGCACCGGCUAACUCCGUGCCAGCAGCCGCGGUAAUACGGAGGGUGCGAGCGUUAAUCGGAAUUACUGGGCGUAAAGCGCGCGUAGGUGGCUUGAUAAGCCGGUUGUGAAAGCCCCGGGCUCAACCUGGGAACGGCAUCCGGAACUGUCAAGCUAGAGUGCAGGAGAGGAAGGUAGAAUUCCCGGUGUAGCGGUGAAAUGCGUAGAGAUCGGGAGGAAUACCAGUGGCGAAGGCGGCCUUCUGGACUGACACUGACACUGAGGUGCGAAAGCGUGGGUAGCAAACAGGAUUAGAUACCCGGGUAGUC